rnacentral:rRNA from 1 species
ACGAACGCUGGCGGCGUGCUUAACACAUGCAAGUCGAACGAUGAACCUGGAGCUUGCUCCGGGGAAUUAGUGGCGAACGGGUGAGUAACACGUGAGUAACCUGCCCUUGACUCUGGGAUAACCUCCGGAAACGGAAGCUAAUACCGGAUACGACGUACGGAGGCAUCUCCUGUACGUGGAAAGAACUUCGGUCAAGGAUGGACUCGCGGCCUAUCAGGUAGUUGGUGAGGUAACGGCCCACCAAGCCUACGACGGGUAGCCGGCCUGAGAGGGUGACCGGCCACACUGGGACUGAGACACGGCCCAGACUCCUACGGGAGGCAGCAGUGGGGAAUAUUGCACAAUGGGCGCAAGCCUGAUGCAGCAACGCCNCGUGAGGGAUGACGGCCUUCGGGUUGUAAACCUCUUUUAGUAGGGAAGAAGCGAAAGU